rnacentral:rRNA from 1 species
AGUGAACGCUGGCGGCAGGCCUAACACAUGCAAGUCGAGCGGCAGCGCGGGGGCAACCCUGGCGGCGAGCGGCGGACGGGUGAGGAAUUCGUCGGAAUCUGCCUUUUUGUGGGGGAUAACGUAGGGAAACUUACGCUAAUACCGCAUACGUCCUACGGGAGAAAGUGGGGGACCGCAAGGCCUCACGCAGAAAGAUGAGCCGACGACCGAUUAGCUAGUUGGUGGGGUAAAGGCCCACCAAGGCGACGAUCGGUAGCUGGUCUGAGGGGAUGAUCAGCAAACCUGGGACUGGAAAACGGCCCAAACCCAUAGGGGGGGGAGCGGGGGGGAAUUUGGGAAAAUGGGGGCAAGCAUGACCCCGCCAUGCCGGGUGUGGAAAAAAGGCCUUGGGGUUGUAAAGCACUUUUGUCGGGAAAAAAACCCCUGGAGAUAAAACCUCGGGGGGAUGAGGGUACGGGAAGAAAAAGCACCGGCUAAUUUCGU